rnacentral:lncRNA from 1 species
UUCGCACACAUGCCAGGGUGGCUGCGAUACAAAUAUACAUAGUCUAGAAUACUUGAGAACUUUCCCUAAUCUUCGCAUACAUGCCGAAAGGGCCCGCGAUACGAACCAAUGCUAUACAUGAACAAUGAACGAACUAGUACGAUGCAUGAUUAGAUAAACGAACGCAAUGCUUGCUAUACUACUCCAUUACUGAACUUACUUACUGUGAACUCGCUCAACUAGUUUGUUGAUUAUUUGCUGCAUGCCUUGCAGGACCUUAGGUGGCUAUGGUACAUUACGGAGCUUGCACAGGGAGGAGCAGGUCGUUGUGGGAUUUGGAUCAUGAACGAUAUUUGAACUUAUAACUAUUUUGAGAUUUCAUACUAUGCUUCCGCUAUUUAAACGAUGUUUGGUUUUGGAACAUCAAUCAUGUCACGAUGAUU